rnacentral:rRNA from 1 species
CAUCGAAACGAACGAGACCUUAACCUGCUAACUAGUUGCGAAUACGUGAGUAUUUGAGACUUUUUAGAGGGACUGACUAUGUUUAAUAGUCGGAAGUUUGAGGCAAUAACAGGUCUGUGAUCCCCUUAGAUGUUCUGGGCCGCACGCGCGCUACAAUGACAAAGUCAGCGAGUACAACCUUGGCCGAGAGGCCUGGGAAAUCUUGUGAAACUUUGUCGUGCUGGGGAUAGAUCAUUGCAAUUAUUGGUCUGAACGAGGAAUUCCUAGUAAGCGCAUGUCAUCAGCAUGCGUUGAUUACGUUCC